CAAUAGCGUAUAUUAAAGUUGUUGCGGUUAAAAGCUCGUAGUUGGAUUUCUGUCGAAGACUGCCGGUCCGCUCUAUGAGCGUGUAUCUGGUUAGGCUUUGGCAUCCUCUUGAAGAACGUUGCUGCGCUUGAUUGCGUGGUGCGGUAUUCAAGACUUUUACUUUGAGGAAAUUAGAGUGUUCACGGCAGGCAAGCGCCUUGAAUACAUUAGCAUGGAAUAAUAAUAUAGGAUCUAGGUUCUAUUUUGUUGGUUUCUAGAACUUGGAUAAUGAUUAAUAGGGAUAAUUGGGGGCAUUUGUAUUAACUCGUCAGAGGUGGAAUUCUUGGAUUGAGUUACGACAAACUACUGCGAAAGCAUUUGCCAAGGAUGUUUUCAUUGAUCAAGAACGAAAGUAUGGGGAUCGAAGAUGAUUAGAUACCAU
rnacentral:rRNA from 1 species